rnacentral:lncRNA from 1 species
UCCGAUAACAAUAGAAUUCCGAGCUACGAUUGUCCUGCUUGAGAUCCAUUGAUACUCAAGAUUACUUUCGUAAUCUAUCCCUAGAAGCUUCCGCUACGUCAGUUGGUAUCAGAGCCGAAUCGGUUCUUUGUUUAUCAUGUCGCUUGGGUGUCUCUAUCACACGGAUGAAUAUCCGUUUACUUUUACAGAAGACUUGUAUGAAGAGUACAAGGAAAUUAUUGGUGAUCCAAUUUUCGACGUAUACAAUGAUGAAGAUCUAAUUCACGAAGAUAAAGAUCUAACUCAUGAUGUAUACGAUGCAUAUAUUGA